UGGAGCACAUUAUAGCUGACUCAGUGAGAGUGCAGAAGGGAAGAAACUUUACUCAUUUUUACACUCCUGCAGAUGAAGUUUCUAUUCCUGCCAUGUCUGCACCAUAAACAUAAUGUACAAGAAGUGAAAACACUGCUUUCAAGCCUACAGCUACUAAAGAGGGAGCAGCUGAGUACAGAGCACAUCUGCUGGCAGACAGUGGGCCUUAUGUGACUCAUGAAACUUGAUUUCUCUUCUAUGGAAUGGUCCGGCUUCAAUAAAAGGGAUGCUUUUAGCCAGGUGUGGAUGUCAAGUGAGCUUGAAUAAGGAAUUUGGUAGCUCAAGUGAAAUAGCAGAUUUGCAAAAAAUGGAAAAUGACAAUGUUGAGCUAUCAGGUCAGGGGGAAGAGGAAGCAGGAUCCUUGCUUUCAAGGUCACUGUCACCAGAUAUGUGAUCCACCAUGAGUAGCUGUUCAAGACAGUCAAGCUUUUUAUCAAGCUUUGUGGACAAAAUGUCAAAAGAAGAUCAAGAAAAAGCAGAUGAGAAAUUAGCUUGAGCUGUAUUUGCAAGUGAUACACCUCUUUCCAUAACUGAAAAUCAAUAGUGGAAGGAAUAAACAAAUUAAUUUGCCCACCAUAUAAAUUACUGUCAUAUUAUCGCUUAUCACAUUCUCUCUUAGAUAGAAAGUAUGACAGAGUUCAAACAAUGGUUAUUCAAAGGAUUGGUCAAGCAGAAUCACUGACUCUGAUGUCAGAUGGAUGGACUGACAUACAAGGAAAUCCUUUAUUGAAUAUUAUGUUAGCAACACCUGAACCAAUAUUCCUGAAAGCGAUUGCUACCAAAUCUUCUCAUCAUCCAGGUGAAUACAUAGCCAAAUUACUCAGUGAAGAGAUUGAAAGUGCAGGUCCCUCCAGGGUACAAGCACUCGUAACUGAUAAUGCGAGUAACGUGAAAGCAGCAUGGCAAAUAUUAAAGGCAAAGUAUCUUCAUUUAAUAGCAUUUGGCUGCUUUGUUCCUGGAUUGCAUCUUCUGGCAAAGGACACAGUAAGUGUGAAUACAAUGAAGAUAAUAUUGGCAAACUGCAAAGUGAUUGUGAAGGUAUUCAACAAUCAUCAUGUUGUUAAUCAGACUUUGAAGAAAUUACAAGAGAAACAGGGGAAGGAAAGUGCACUUUUAUUGCCAGGAGUGUUUACAUAGUUUGCUGCACACAAAGAACUGUUUGCAGUGUGCUUCAAUAGAUGACACAGUAUCCCAGAUUAUUCCUGUGAACAUUGGAAGCAGAUUCUCGACAAUGAUAUGUUCUGGGUUCAAGUUCAAGGAGCAUUAAAUUUACUACUGUCAGGUUCAGUGGCUAUCAAGAAACCUGAAGGAGAUACACCAAGCCUUUCAAAUAUUUCAGAGAUAUUCAGACAACCGAGUGAAAAUCUAACUGAGCUUUUGCCAUCUUCACCUCUAUCCAAAAAAGAAGAAGAAUUAAAACAAAUGUUUACUAACAGAUCUGAGUUUUGCUUUCAUCCAAUUAAUCUGGCAGCAAACCUUUGGAAUCCGCAACACAGAGGACAACAUUUGUCAGAAGAUGAAUUAUCUACUGCUGUCAAUACAAUUAUGGAAGUAGCUAAGAAUGUCCCCAACAUAGAUGAAAUAGCCAUGAUGACAGACAUUGCCAAGUACUGCACAAAAGAAAAGCUAUGGAGCAAAGACAAUUUGGCAGGCAGCAGAGAAUAUGUCUCUUCUCACACGGUGAAAGGGAUACUGUAACACCUGACUGUUGUCCAGGAUUGCUUUAACAAUCCUAAGCAUUCCACCAACAGCAGCUUCUUGCGAAUGGAACUGGAAGGCUUUCAGCUCAAUCAAGACAAAAAAGAGAAAUAGACUAACAAAUGAACACACUGCUAAGCUUGUUUGUAUUUCUCAAAAUCUCUUGCUUCUGGAGAAUCAGGAAAAAGCACAAUUAGUGAGGAAGCACACUGUGAUGGUAAGUUGCCCUUGCCCAUAGACUCAUUGGUAAAACCAUCCUUUGGUGAAAGAGAGCAUGGUUCAAAUAGUUCUGAAUCAGAUUUGCCUCAAUCUGAUUCUGAAAUGGAACUAAUAAGAAGUGCAAGUGAUUCUACAGAUAGUGACAGUGACACUGGAGGUGCUACAGUGGCCUCAGUGGGAAACUCUUUUGAAGUAGAUGAGUGGACAACCAUAGCAUAUCAUGGACCAUUCUUUGGGUGUGCUAAAAUUAGCAUGUCAAUGGUUUUGGAUGUCUUCAUAUUUUCCCUUUAAAAUUUAAACAAAGAGUGUAAGGGAAGUACAUGCUAUUGUGUAUUGUCUUUACAUUUUU